rnacentral:lncRNA from 1 species
ACAGUAAGACAGAAGUAGAAGGGAGUCCGGCGGCGCUCAAGGAUGGCGCAGAGAGGUCGCUGGAGGUGGGCGACGCAGUUAGGGCUCGAGGAGGGCAGGGUGGCCUCUUUUGCUACUCUUGCUCACGAAAUGAAAAGAGAGAGAGAGAGAGAGAGAGAGAAAUGAAGAGGGAGAGGGAUUGCCGGCAGAAGAGAUCGCCAGCAAUGGGCAGAGCGGUGCGGUGGUGCUACAGAGAGGGGAAAGGAGGUGGUCAGCUAGGGUUAGGGUUCCAUAAAUCCCCUCGUUUUCUACUAUUUACAUAUACAUACCCAUAUAUACCAAAUAAUUUUAGAGGAUUUGCACACAAGCCUUCCUAACACCUCCAAAUUCACACCCAGCCCAAAAUCAGCAUAGAACAUUUUCGUCUUAGUCCCUCUCUAUACC